CUUGAGACCUCUUAUGCUAUGGUAUGGCAAGAGGGAGAUGAGCACCUUCUAUUUACAGGUGCUUAUGGAUGUUGUAGUGUUGCCAUGUAGCAACUUUCGCACUCUUCUUUACAAAAUAUCUAAUAUUAGAAUUUUCCUUAUCCUUAUCCAACUAUGCAAAAUAUCUGAUUUUAGAGAAUUCUUGUCUUGCCAUAAAGCAUGACAACUCCUCCCUCUUGCCAUUUCCAAGUUCUUGUAGAAUCUUCCAAGUAUGCAUUGUUAUUUUCAACAAAGUGCAAUCUGAAUCUUUAAAGGUCCGUAGGAACUGUAAUGGAAAUGCUACGAUGAAUGGCGCUGCCGGUAAGCAAAAUUUCAUUUGGACUAGUAGCCAAGUGCGACUGCACGGUAGGCUGGUAGUACAUUCAGCUUACUGAUUUUUCCCCCCCUGAAAUUUAUACUGAAUUUGUUUUCCCUGUUGCUUGACGCGUAAUGCUGUGAAGCUUCAAUUGUUCGUGACUUCGGUCAUAGUCACCGAGUUCCCAGGUCGAUAGGAUCAAGGAACACACCAACACAGAACUUGCUCCGAAAGGUUCCCAAUUGGUUAGGUUCUUGGCAAGUGGUGGUAACGACCCAUGGACGCAUUAAUCAAUAAAGGCCGUUCAUGAUCGAUCGGUUAAAGCAAUGCGAAAAUCCUCAGCAGUAUUUGCUGGGAACUGGUGGCGCCUCCUUCAGGGAAAGAGAGUUGGGGGACUCCGACCGACGGCGUUGCCAGGCUCGCCGUGCUAGCAGUAGUAGCCGCGGCGGCGGCCCGGCGGCGGCUGCAGGAAGGCGAUGAACAUCAGGGCGACGACGGCGACGAAGGCCAGCGCGAUGAGGAUGUUCUCGUCGACGGGGAGCAGGCACACCUUCCCCAUGCUCUCGCAGCCUGGUGAAUGGCGCUGCAGAGGAAGCGUGUACCUUGGCUUCGUUGCAGAAGCAUGCGUGGAAAUGUCCUUGUUAUAGCAGUUGGAGUCUUAUGUCCUCUGGGUCAACUGCUCUGUGAAAGGUUUUUCUAUUGGAGCUUCGUUGCGGUACCAUGGACCAUGCAGGCGUCUCGUACGCUUAUACGAAACUGAAUUUUGUAUUUAGGUAGGUAUUGUCAACAAGAAUGUAAAUUGUUCCUCGUGGAGUAGGUCGGUACAACGGCGGCAAGUUGAAGCAGCGGUUUGAACAGAUCCGAUGCAUCCUAAAGGUCACACCAUUUGCAUCACCAAAAAUG